UAGAGUUUGAUCCUGGCUCAGAACGAACGCUGGCGGCGUGGAUAAGACAUGCAAGUCGGACGAGACUUCGUUUGAUAGCAAUAUUGAGCGAAGUUUAGUGGCGAACGGGUGCGUAACACGUGGGCAACCUGCCAAGAAGUGGGGGAUAGCUCGCCGAAAGGCGAAUUAAUACCGCAUGUGAUGAGAGGAGACAUCUUUUCAAAAUUAAAGUCGGGGCAACCUGACGCUUCUUGAGGGGCCCGCGGCCUAUCAGCUAGUUGGUGAGGUAACGGCCCACCAAGGCUUUGACGGGUAGCUGGUCUGAGAGGACGACCAGCCACACUGGGACUGAGACACGGCCCAGACACCUACGGGUGGCAGCAGUCGAGAAUUUUUCUCAAUGGGGGAAACCCUGAAGGAGCGACGCCGCGUGGAGGAUGAAGGUCUUCGGAUUGUAAACUCCUGUCAUUGGGGACAAUGCGUAAAUAUUAACUGUAUUUGCGUUGAUAGUACCCGAAGAGGAAGAGACGGCUAACUCUGUGCCACCGGCCGCGGUAAUACGGAGGUCUCAAGCGUUUUUCCGGAUUCUUUGGGCGUAAAGGGGGCUUAGGGCGCCCCGGUAAAUCCGGGUUUAAAUUCUCGGACCUUACCUCCGAAACCUGCUUUGGAAUCUGCCGUGCCUUGAGGACCGACAAAGAAAAUGAAAUUUUCGGGUUGCCGGGAAAUUGCCGAAAAUUUGCAAAGAAAAAACGUGGCGCAAGGGCGGUCUUCGGGAAGUUGCCUAGCCUCGAGGACCAAAGGGCUGGAGGACCCACGCGGGAUGAAACCCCCGGGUCGCCUGAAGAAGAAACGAGCGCGUUUUGGAGGUGGCAGAUCGCNCCGCAUUUCCC
rnacentral:rRNA from 1 species